rnacentral:rRNA from 1 species
UACGUAGGGCGCAAGCGUUGUCCGGAAUUAUUGGGCGUAAAGAGCUCGUAGGCGGCUUGUCACGUCGGGGUGUGAAAGCCCGGGGCUUAACCCCGGGUCUGCAUUCGAUACGGGCUAGCUAGAGUGUGGUAGGGGAGAUCGGAAUUCCUGGUGUAGCGGUGAAAUGCGUAGAUAUCUGGAGGAACACCGGUGGCGAAGGCGGCAUCCUGGUUGGAUACUGACGCUGAGACGCGAAAGCGUGGGGAGCAAACAGG